AUUGAACGCUGGCGGCAGGCUUAACACAUGCAAGUCGAACGUGUGGCGGACGGGUGAGUAAUUUCUUGGUAACUGCCUGAUGGAGGGGGAUAACUACUGGAAACGGUAUCUAAUACCGCAUACCAUCAGAUGUGCCCAGUUGUGAUUAGCUUGUUGGUGGGGUAACGGAUAACCAAGGCGACGAUCCCUAGCUGGACUGAGAGGAUGACCGGCCACGCUGGGGCUGAGACACGGGCCAGACGCCUACGGGAGGCAGCAGUAGGGAAUAUUGCACAAUUGGCGUAAGUCUGAUGCAGCCAUGCCGCGUAUAUGAAGAAGGCCUUCGGGUUGUAAAGUACAUACAGCGGGGAGGCGUUACGCGGAGAAGAAGCACCGGCUAACUCCGUGCCGGCAGCCGCGGUAAUUC
rnacentral:rRNA from 1 species